rnacentral:rRNA from 1 species
AGUGAACGCUGGCGGUAGGCCUAACACAUGCAAGUCGAACGGCAGCACAGUAAGAGCUUGCUCUUACGGGUGGCGAGUGGCGGACGGGUGAGGAAUACAUCGGAAUCUACUUUUUCGUGGGGGAUAACGUAGGGAAACUUACGCUAAUACCGCAUACGACCUACGGGUGAAAGCAGGGGAUCUUCGGACCUUGCGCGAUCGAAUGAGCCGAUGUCGGAUUAGCUAGUUGGCGGGGUAAAGGCCCACCAAGGCGACGAUCCGUAGCUGGUCUGAGAGGAUGAUCAGCCACACUGGAACUGAGACACGGUCCAGACUCCUACGGGAGGCAGCAGUGGGGAAUAUUGGACAAUGGGCGCAAGCCUGAUCCAGCCAUACCGCGUGGGUGAAGAAGGCCUUCGGGUUGUAAAGCCCUUUUGUUAGGAAAGAAAAGCAGCAGGUUAAUACCCCGCUGUUCUGACGGUACCCAAAGAAUAAGCACCGGCUAACUUCGUG